rnacentral:rRNA from 1 species
GACGAACGCUGGCGGCGUGCCUAAUACAUGCAAGUCGAACGCUUCUUUCCUCCCGAGUGCUUGCACUCAAUUGGAAAGAGGAGUGGCGGACGGGUGAGUAACACGUGGGUAACCUACCCAUCAGAGGGGGAUAACACUUGGAAACAGGUGCUAAUACCGCAUAACAGUUUAUGCCGCAUGGCAUAAGAGUGAAAGGCGCUUUCGGGUGUCGCUGAUGGAUGGACCCGCGGUGCAUUAGCUAGUUGGUGAGGUAACGGCUCACCAAGGCCACGAUGCAUAGCCGACCUGGGGGGGGGAUCGGCCACACUGGGACGGAGAAACGGCCCAGACUCCUAGGGGAGGCAGGAGGAGGGAAUCUUCGGAAAGGGACGAAAGUCUGACCGAGCAACGCCGGGGGAGUGAAGAAGGUUUUCGGAUCGAAAAACUCUGUUGUUAGAAAAGAACAAGGGCGUUAGUAACGGAACGCCCCCUGGCGGUAUUAACCAAGAAAGCCACGGCUAACUACGG